GGAGGUUCGACUCGAGCGAAGCGAGAGAACGUUGCGUCAGCAACGGCCCGCAGGGCGAGUCACGCAGUGGCGAGUCAUCCUCUAUCACCGACCA
rnacentral:sRNA from 1 species